rnacentral:rRNA from 1 species
AUCAACUUUCGAUGGUAGGAUAGAGGCCUACCAUGGUGGUAACGGGUAACGGGGUGUUAGGGCACGACACCGGAGAGGGAGCCUGAGAAACGGCUACCACAUCCAAGGAUGGCAGCAGGCGCGCAAAUUACCCAAUCCCGACACGGGGAGGUAGUGACAAUAAAUAACAAUACGGGGUUCUUUCGGAUUUCGUAAUUGGAAUGAGUACAAUUUAAAUCUCUUAACGAGGAACAAUUGGAGGGCAAGUCUGGUGCCAGCAGCCGCGGUAAUUCCAGCUCCAAUAGCGUAUAUUAAAGUUGUUGCAGUUAAAAAGCUCGUAGUUGAAUUUCGGGGUUAGUAGGUUGGUCAUGCCUCUGGUAUGUACUGAUCUCACUGAUUCCUCCCUCUUGACGAACUGUAAUGUCAUUAAUUUGGUGUUGCAGGAAAUCAGGACUGUUACUUUGAAAAAAUUAGAGUGUUUAAAGCAGGCUUAGGCUUGAAUACAUUAGCAUGGAAUAAUGAAAUAGGACGUUUGAACCUAUUUUGUUGGUUUCUAGGAUCGACGUAAUGAUUAAUAGGGAUAGUUGGGGGCAUUAGUAUUCAAUUGUCAGAGGUGAAAUUCUUGGAUUUAUUGAAGACUAACUACUGCGAAAGCAUUUGCCAAGGAUGUUUUCAUUAAUCAAGAACGAAAGUUAGGGGAUCGAAGACGAUCAGAUACCGUCGUAGUCUUAACCAUAAACUAUGCCGACUAGGGAUCGGAUGAUGUUAAUUUUUUAAUGACUCAUUCGGCGCCUUACGGGAAACCAAAGUGUUUGGGUUC